rnacentral:rRNA from 1 species
GACGAACGCUGGCGGCGUGCCUAAUACAUGCAAGUCGAGCGAAGUUUUUCUGGUGCUUGCACUAGAAAAACUUAGCGGCGAACGGGUGAGUAACACGUAAAGAACCUGCCUCAUAGACUGGGACAACUAUUGGAAACGAUAGCUAAUACCGGAUAACAGCAUUAACUGCAUGGUUGAUGUUUAAAAGUUGGUUAUGCUAACACUAUGAGAUGGCUUUGCGGUGCAUUAGCUAGUUGGUGGGGUAAAGGCCUACCAAGGCGACGAUGCAUAGCCGACCUGAGAGGGUGAUCGGCCACACUGGGACUGAGACACGGCCCAGACUCCUACGGGAGGCAGCAGUAGGGAAUCUUCCGCAAUGGGCGAAAGCCUGACGGAGCAACGCCGCGUGAGUGAAGAAGGAUUUCGGUUCGUAAAGCUCUGUUGUUAGGGAAGAAUGGAUAUGUAGUAACUAUACAUAUAAGAGACGGUACCUAACCAGAAAGCCACGGCUAACUACGUGCCAGCAGCCGCGGUAAUACGUAGGUGGCAAGCGUUGUCCGGAAUUAUUGGGCGUAAAGCGCGCGCAGGUGGUUUAAUAAGUCUGAUGUGAAAGCCCACGGCUCAACCGUGGAGGGUCAUUGGAAACUGUUAAACUUGAGUGCAGGAGAGAAAAGUGGAAUUCCUAGUGUAGCGGUGAAAUGCGUAGAGAUUAGGAGGAACACCAGUGGCGAAGGCGGCUUUUUGGCCUGUAACUGACACUGAGGCGCGAAAGCGUGGGGAGCAAACAGG